UCUCCAAGAAAUUACUACUCGUAUUCCACCGUUUGCUAAUAAUAGUACUCUGGGUUCCGCGACCGUUCGAUAUUCUUGUUUUCCGAAGUGUUUUCUUUAUCUCAGCCACCUUCCCUGGUCGGUUUCUGAGACCUGGAGAGUCCAGGACAACAACUCCCUUCCCCCUGGAAUAUCUCAGUGUCAGGCUCGCCCUCUCCGACAGCCACCGUUGUUGUUACGUAAUUCAAGGGUGGUCACUCCGCGCGGUCCCCUCCGACCACCGUUCUCCACUGUCAACGAUUCGCAAUGAUCUGACACGGCCAGCUGGGGAGCGAAGGUCUCAUGUUGAGAAAGCUGGUAUUGAUGAACUCUAAAGACAACCAGGUACGAUGGUGCUCCCUUAAAGUUCAAAACCAGCCUGAACUACAUAUGGAAACCCAGUCUCACCACCACCCCAAUAUGGAAACCCAGUCUCAUCUCCCCAACCCCUCCCGAACCCCUCUCCCCAAAAUAGUAUUGCCUUGGUUUUUGUACUUUAUGGAAUGUCAUUUUAACUGUCAAUACAAUUCCAACUUUAUAGUCACUUUUAUCACUUCUGAGAAAUAAAGAGGCAUUAAAAACUUUGA